rnacentral:rRNA from 1 species
AACACAUGCAAGUCGAACGAUUCUCGAGUAGCUUGCUACUCGAGAAGAGGGCGAACGGGUGAGUAACACGUGAGUAAUCUCCCCUCGAGUGAGGAAUACUACGCGAAAGCGUGGCUAAUACCGCAUGAUACUCUGGAGCAUAAGCUUCAGAGUCAAAGCUUUCGAGCGCUUGAGGAUGAGCUCGCGGCCUAUUAGCUGGUUGGUAGGGUAAUGGCCUACCAAGGCAAUGAUGGGUAGCCGGCCUGGAGGGUGUACGGCCACACUGGGACUGAGACACGGCCCAGACUCCUACGGAGGCAGCAGUGGGGAAUUUUGCGCAAUGGGCGAAAGCCUGACGCAGCGAGCCGCGUGGAGGAUGACGGCCUUCGGGUUGUAAACUCCUGUCAGAGGUGAGAAAUCCUGAUCUAUCAGGUUUGACGGUAACCUCAGAGGAAGCCCCGGCUACUACGUGCCAGCAGCCGCGG